rnacentral:rRNA from 1 species
CUACGGGCCGCUGCAGUCGAGAAUAGUCUACAAUGGACGAAAGUCUGAUAGUGCGACGCCGCGUGGAUGAAGAAGCAUUUCGGUGUGUAAAGUCCUUUUCUGUGUGAGCAAUGUUUUCCAGGUUGAUAGCUUGGAGAAAGCGAUAUUAACACAGGAAUAAGCUCCGGCUAACUCCGUGCCAGCAGCCGCGGUAACACGGGGGGAGCAAGCGUUGUCCGGAAUUACUAGGCGUAAAGGGUAAGUAGGCGGAAUUGUAAGUCAGAUGUUAAAGGCACCGGCUCAACCGGUGUAUGGCAUUUGAUAAUGUAAUCCUAGAGUAAGGUGGGGGAAGACGGAAUUCCUGGUGUAGCGGUGGAAUGCGCAGAUAUCAGGAGGAACACCAGAGGCGCAGGCGGUCUUCUAUACCAUUACUGACGCUCAAUUACGAAGGUGUGGUUAUCAAACAGGAUUAGAUACCCUUGUAGUC